AGGCACCUCCUAGGUCUGACAUUGCUCUUGGUUUCCCAUAACUGUCAAAACACUAAGAACCAAGUAGAAACUUUCUGCGGAGAAGUUCUUCGGCGGGGGGUGGGGCCCAAACUGAGAAAGGCCACAGCAUCACUUCAGCGGCAAUGGAUAGUCGGGGCCAGAGGGGACCCCCCGAAGGACAGGAGUGACCAGACAGAAAGGAGAAUGGACUCAAACCACUCUCUCUAGAUACACAGCACAGGCCCUUUUAGCUGCAACCAAGAGCCUCUCUAGGGAGCUGGACUACAGAUUCCACAAGGGCCAGGCCUGCUUAUCUUAUUUCUUCAUCCUAAAUUUAUUCAUUUGACCAACUCUGGCACUCCAGACUGCAUGCCCUGAGGUCCAAAGGGCAGCAAUUCUGGGGCUGUGGCCCUCCGGUAGCCCUUCAUCUGCUGGGGAGGCUGGCGAGUAAACAAGUCAAUGGAACAUUAUGCCACAAUGACACAGCGCAGUGAGUGCCAUCCUGUGGAAUGAAGCCCAGAAAAAAAUACUCAAGAUGUCUUCCAAGGCUGAAGCAAUGAUAUCUGAGCCAAUCCAACCAACUCAGCAGCCACCUUAUCCUCAAGGAUCUUGGAUGUGCAGUAAUUCCCAUCUCCCACCCAGCCCUCCUGACACUCGCCACAGGGGAACUUCUCACCCGGCACAACACAGUGUCGCCUAGCGAACACACCCCCACCCCACACCCCAAAGUCCGAAGUUGAGAAUAAGCCGUUUGCUGGUGGACUCGGUUCCCGCAGGAGGGACAAGGAUGACUGCCAUCUGCACAUCAGCUGCCUGGGACAUAACAUUUCACACGUCACGUUUCAAACAGAGGCAGCAGCUGCAGCUGAGAUGAAGCAUAUCCAAGUAUACUUAGCCCUUACUAUAUUGGAAGAAAACAUAUUUCCCAGUUCUGAUGACCUUCAUUUUCUGCCGUAUUAAAGUCUUACAUAAUUUAACUUUUA